AUGGACUUCUCCCUCCGCCACUGCGUCGUUGCCGCCGCCGCCCUCUCUCCGCCGCCGCAACCAUUGCCGUCGCCCUCUCUCCUCAUGUCAUCUUCGAGCUUUGUUCGAUCUCGGCUACGUGGCCGCUCCGUUGUAGUUCCAUUGACCCCGUGCCCGGAUUGUGACGAGCAUGUCAAGUUCUACCGCUCUGGCACCGACGAGCACGAGGAGUGGGUCUUCUACAGGUGCACCAAACACCAGGUCAAAUUCCUCUGCCUCAGAUUCUGCACAUGCUCCAUAUUGCCACUGGUUCUGCAUCAGAUUGAUCUAUAA
rnacentral:rRNA from 1 species